CGGGCACACGAAGUGGAGGGUUUGUACGUUCCAUCCUUUACGAGGCUUCAAAUUUAGAAUCCUUUGAGGAUUUGAUCUCUAUUCCACUGUGUAUUAGGUAAAAGAUAAAAUCUUUGUUAGCUUAUUAUAGAAAAAAAUUUAGAUACUCCCUGGCGAUCUGAUCCUGAAUCAGAUUUUUUUCUAUAGUUGGUAUCAGAGUUAGACUUUGUUAUAUGGAUACAUAAUUGAUUUUUUCUAGUUGAU
rnacentral:lncRNA from 1 species